GUGUAACGGAGGCGCCCAAAGGUUCCCUCAGCCUGGUUGGCAAUCAGGUGUUGAGUGUAAGUGCACAAGGGAGCUUGACUGUGAGACUGGCAGGUCGAGCAGGGACGAAAGUCGGGACUAGUGAUCCGGCGGUACGUUGUGGAACGGCCGUCGCUCAACGGAUAAAAGGUACCUCGGGGAUAACAGGCUGAUCUUGCCCAAGAGUCCAUAUCGACGGCAUGGUUUGGCACCUCGAUGUCGGCUCGUCGCAUCCUGGGGCUGGAGUCGGUCCCAAGGGUUGGGCUGUUCGCCCAUUAAAGCGGUACGCGAGCUGGGUUCAGAACGUCGUGAGACAGUUCGGUCCCUAUCCGGCGCGGGCGUAGGAUAUUUGAGAGGAUCUGUCCUUAGUACGAGAGGACCGGGAUGGACUGACCUCUGCUGAACCUGUUGGGAAUCAAUCCCAUCGCAGGGUAGGCAAGUUGGGAAUGGAUAAACGCUGAAGGCAUCUAAGCGUGAAGCCAACCUCAAGAUGAGAUAUCCCAUCGCAAGAGUAAGACCCCUUGAAGAGAACGAGGUAGAUAGGGCUGAGGUGUAAGUGCUGCAAAGCAUUCAGCUGACAGCUA
rnacentral:rRNA from 1 species